ensembl:ncRNA Y39A3CL.11 ncRNA
UGAGAGAGCGAAGACGCAGGCGGCGAGAGUACUCUCGCCGGCUGCGUCUCUCCACUCUUGCCGCUCAAACUUCAAAACGGUGUAACUCGGCGGCCGUUGGAGAUAUCAAAAAACUUCCAACUAGCAAAAUGUUUGAAAUGAAAUUUUCUA